rnacentral:lncRNA from 1 species
AACUGGAAGAUACCGCAUUCAUCUUGUCAUAACCCAAUUUUUGACCAUUUUUAUUUUAAUUAUUAUUAUUAUUUUAUUUAUUGAAAAGGAUAAAAAAAUGAUGAAAAAAUAAUAAUAAUGAUGAAAAAAAACAAGUAAAAUGAAAUAAAUGAAGAAUGAAUUAAAAUUUGGGUUAAGGGCAACAUGAUUGGAAGUUUUAGGGUUUAAUUAAACUUUGGAAUUAAUCUAAUUAAGCUUGGAAUUAAUUUAAUUAAUCAAGUCAAGGGUUUAAUUGAAAAACGGAUAAGUUUUGAGACUUAAUUAAGCUUGAAAUUAAUUUAAUUAAUCCAGUUAAGGUUUUAAUUUGAGAAUUGAUAAGUUUUGAGACUUAAUUAAGCUUGGAAUUAAUUUAAUUAAUCCAAUCAGGGGCUUAAUUGAAGAAAUAACAAAGUUUGGAGUUAAUUGGGGGCACGAUUGCAACAGCUUAAAGUCCAAGGAUUAGUUUGUAAAAAACGCCGAAAUACAGGGGUCCAAUUACAAUUUAUCCAGGGGCUUGAUUACACGAUUCCAGAACUUCAGUGACUGGAUUGCAAAUGGCCAUUCCCAUCACACAAAAGGCGCCGUUUCUAGAAAUCAGCCGUCGCCUUCUUCGUCUCCUUCCACAGGAACGGUUUCUGCAGUAAUGGCUUUGAAGCCGUUUCAAUUGUAGAGAUGCUUGGCAUUCUCUGGCUAUAAAGCCAGAGAAGAUGAGAGAGCGCGAGGGGGAAGGAAUCACAGAACCGGAGGGGGACUAAAAACGAAGGAAGAAGAGCAGACAUGCAUUCCUCUGUUUCUUCUCAAAGAAACAGAGGAGGCUAAAGAAAAAGCCACGAACAAAAGGAAGUAAACAGAGAGCUAAACCCAUCUUCAGUUUAGUCCCAGAAUUCAAUCACAACAUAUGAACAGAAGAGGAAAGCAGAGGAGAGCAGAGAGUAAGUAAAAAAACCCAACAAACAGAAACGCAAGAACAGAAACUGUACAGAGGGGAGCAAGUUUUCUGCCCCUGUUUCUUCUCACAGAAACAGAGGCGUUCGUGCCUCACGAUCGUGAGGCACGAACGCGUGAAGAAAGGCCAUUCUCUGGCCACAGCAGGGGAAUCACGGAACCAAGGACAUCCAGAGAGCAGAGAGAACCCGAAGAAAUACCCAGAGGCUAAAAAUCCCAGACGGAAAAAACCCAGUAGACAGGGGGAAAGCUAAGCCCAGACACGAAAAAACCAGGGAGAGACCGGAGAAAAAACUGCUGAAAAACCAAAGCAGAGAAUACACGAAGAAAAGCCAGGGGAAGGAGACAGAGACAGAAACAGGGGAAGAGAACAAAAAGCCAACGUACCCCAGCUUCGCCUUCAUCUUCAGAACACAAACACAGUGAGCAGACGAAAAACCAGAGAAGAAAAACGCAAACAAAACCAGAGGAAGAAGCUUAAAAAAACGAAGAGAGGACCAGCAUCACCACCGACUGCCUCUUCUCCAGCACCAGCUUCCAAAACCAAAGGAAGAAGCUAAAAAGGAGAGAGGAACAAGCAGCUGACAGAAGGAAUACACCGAAAGAAGGGAAACGAACGAACACAGGGAUCUUGAGGCAAGGAUAGACGACCAAGAAAGACUGAAAAAAUCCGGAUCGCCAUUUCCAGCACCAGGUAAGUUGCGCUUUCCCUUCUUGCAUUUUAAUUACAUGCUCCUAUAGCAGGCGUGCGUGAACUGCUCACGCACGCCUGCUGGUAAAAAAAAUGGCCAGCCGGGUCAAGCCUGUGACCCGGCUAGGCCUGCUGGGUCCAGCCCAGCCACAUGGGCUGAGCUGGGCCCAGCCCCCAAAAAAUAAAAAAAAUAGAAAAUAGAAAAUAAAAAAAUAUAAACAUAUAAAAAAUAAAAAAUUAUGCAUGCAUAUAUUUAAAUUUAUUUUUAUUUGGUUUAUUUAAAGAGCUAGAGUCAGCAACACCAUUCAUUUUUGUUUUGAGUUACGUAAUACUUACCAACGCCAGAGUUGGAAGUAUCCGUAGUCGAAUAUUCACUGACGCCAGAGUCAAGAAUAUUAUAAACAAAUCAUCAUAGCAUAAACUAAUAAAUAUUUAGCAAUUUAAGACAAAACCAACAAUGCAGUCUGCCUUAGGCAGAACGUUUAAGGGGUGAUAAUAUCUUUCCUUUUACGUAACCAAUCCCGAGCCAUAGAAUCUCUGUUGACCAGUUAGGGUUCCUAGUGACCAUAAUACUAGGUGGCGACUCCUCAAACAAGACAUUUUCCCCUAAAAGAAUCAGAUGCCAGAAAUCUGUUCUUUUUCCAUAAUAUAAAUCAAGAGAACCAUUAUUUUUUAGGGCCGCCGCGAUGUCGGGUGCGACACAUCUCCCAAAAAAUGUGAGUGCCUCCUAUUUAGUAGUUCAUGCAUAGCAUGUGUCAACAACUUUUAUUUUUUUUAAUUAUAUUUAUAUUUAUCAAAAGAUUAAAUUGCCCCUCAUUCAAAAUUGAUUAUAACUAAAAAAAAAUCAUGAAAUAUAAAAAAGUCACUCGACAUCAGUUUAAAAUUUUUACUUUAAAGAGAAAUGUAGUUAUUUCAUUGUGCAAUCAAAGCAUUAAAAGACCAAAAAUCCUUUGGAUCCUAGUUUUAAUUUCAUUGUUUUUUGCUUUUAAGUAUAUUUAAGUUAUUUAAUUGUGUAUAUAAAAUGUUAAAAGACCGAUUUGUCUCUAAUCAAUAUAAUAAUAACAAAUAGACCUUAUAAAAAAGACUGGUUUGCCAUCAAUAAUUACUUAAGUGAUUUUGUUUGAGAAUGGAAAAAAAAUAUAAUUUUAAUGUUUCAAUCUAUAGUAAUAUAUGUUUAGGUGUACAAUGAAAAAUUAAAAUCUUUUAUUUUUUUAUAAUUAUAAUAUGCAUCAUUAUAAUAUGUGAUCAAAGCAAUUGAAGUGCAUUAUCUUCUAAAAAAAUACAUAAAGAAUCUUGAUUAUUGUUAUAAAACUUGACUAAAUGUAUCAAUUAUGUGGGAUCUUGUCGAACUUGAAUUUUAUAUCAAAUUAGGUUUGGAGUUCACUUGGUCAAAUUUAAUUUUGGUUUGAAUUUUAUAUCAAGCCAUGGAUUGGGCUAGGUUUUGUAGAAAUGAAAGAAAGUCUAUCAAUUGUUUAUGGCAAGGGCAUAAAUUACGUAUGAUCCAAUAUAGAAACACACAGAAGACAGAGAUCCAUAUACGUGGGAACAAAGGCUGGGCUAAGGGAGCUUAAACUCAUAUGAUAAAAGUAUUAUAUUAAUGAUAUAACACAAAAAUAAUUUAAUGGAAUAUUUUACUUCUCCUAGUUUGUGGUAAAGUAAGGCAGUGUUUAUUUUUGUGGUGGCACCGUAUUUUUUUUAAAAUCAUUUUAAAUAUUUUUUGGUAUUUUUAGAUUGUUUUCAUAUACUAAUAUAAAAAAUUAAUUUAAAAAAACAUUAUUUUUAGAUUGAAUCAAGAGGGUUUUGGAUGUGUUGGGAUAAAUCAUAAAAAUAUGCUUUGAAGAGUUCAGGAGUUGCUACCUAAUAUUAUGGUCACUAAGAAAUCUAAUGAUCCGCGACAAUUUGGAUGGAGGGACUAGUUGCGCAUGAGAAAAAUACAUCACCCCCAGUAUACCCUACCUUUGAUAAGCCGCGUUGUUGAUUGAUUGUUUUUUCUAAGAUCAUGUUUUUAUGUUUUUAUUCGUUGAUCUAUCUAAGAUCCAAGAAAAUUUUUCUUGGUAAAGAAAUCCUUAUUUUAUUAGGAUAAAACCUAACCUUUCUAAAGUCCAAAAGAAAUGGGUAAAAUACAUAUCCCAAGCUUAAACAAAAUAAUUUUUGUGGUGCUAUUUGUUUUUUGAAAUUCUGGUCAAAUCUUAACAGAUAAUCACAAACUUGUUGUGAUACUCAUUAAUUGAUCUUUUUCGUAUUUCUUCAAGUAUGAUAGAAUACAAUUUUUAUUUUUUUAUAAAAUAUGGAUGAAAAUUAUAGAAUUUGAUACUUUGAUUUUAUUUAAUUUAGUCCUUGGAAAAGUCUGGAACAACUCCUAAUGUUACGUGUCUUUUGCAGAAAGGUCCUUGGUUUUGAGUUCUUUCAAUUUGGUUCAACCUCUAUACUCUGAUUUUCUUGCAAUUUCGCCCUUGAUUCCAUCCAAUGAACUUUGUAAAAAUUAAAUAUGGUCCUCUAAAAUUUUAAUUUUCUCAAUUAAGUUAACCUUGAAUUUGCACUGUCCAAUUAAGUCCUUGCAAACUAGGCUUCCAGACUUAAUUUAUCACCAAUUAUGCUUUUAAUAAAAUUAAUUUUAUCAAUUAAAAAUCUAAUGAAGUUCUUACACUUAAUUAAUUCUUUUAAUUUCAGCCUAAGUUAAUUUCCAAACUUAAUUAAAUCUUUAAUUAGGCUCAUGAUUAAAUCAAAUCAGUCUAUUAAAUAUCUAAUUAAAUUCUUAAACUUAAUUUUUAUGCAAAUUCGUUCAAUAUUCACAUUAAGUUAAUUUUGAAUUUGCAUUUAGAUCCUUCAAAGGUUCAAUUGAGUUUUCAAUAUUGUCAAAGAUUCAGUUUGGUCUGUCUAUCCCUCAUUUAUGCAUAUAGAUCUCUCUUCAACUUGUUCUUGUCAUCCAAGUCACUUGUCUUCUUGUAUAUUUUUUUUAUUUUUCAACCUUUUUUUGGUAUAAAAGAAAACAAUAAUUUUGGAGGAACUCGAAAUUAAGUUAUGAUAAUUUUGAUAUAUUUUCAAGAGAAAAAUAUUUUAAAUUAAAAACAACUGCUAUUACAAUAUCAAACGCUACCUAGGGCAAAAGAGUAAAUUUUGUUGAAGAGAUCAAAAGAGUAUAAUAUCAAACUUUGUUGAAGAAAAGUAUUAUAUUAAUGAUCUCUUCAACAAAAUCUUGAUCACCCCAAAUUAAUCUCAAGAAGUAGUAGAGGAUCUUUUGAGAGCUAGAGAGCAAGAUUUUGUUGAAGAGAUCAAAAGAGGGCAAACCAACCAUCAUAUAUAUGUUCACAAGACAAUGUUUUUUUAUUUUUUUGAGCCACCUUCCCUUAGCAAACCAUUUUUGUAUAUUUACCAUAAUUUCUCACGUGUAAAGCAAACUUUCAUAUCUUAAAAGGUUGGUCUAGCAUAUAUCAGCCGAAACUUAUUUGCUUUUUUCAGAUCUCAAGCUUAAACCCUUCAUUCAAUAAUAAUAAUAAAAAAAAAAACUUAUAGGAUCACGGGCCACAGGGUAUAAUAAAGCACCUUGUAUUUUUAGACUGCAAGGUUAGUCUGUUACUCGAAAACCAGCCUAUGAUACCCUGUGUUUUUUUUAAAAAAUAAAAAUUAUUGGUUCAUUUUUCCUUAUAAAAAAACUGAUGAUGGUAAGAUGAUUGUCGGUCCAGAUAUUCUUUGCUUGGUUUUUGGAAAGGUUAAAUGAACCAAGACAAAUGGUGGCAUAAAUCAGCUCAUGAGUUGGUGGGAGGCAAGAGUUCAGAGAAUUAAUUAAGAAUAUUGACUUCAAUUCUGUGUCUGGCUCCCUGCUGUUCCAAGACAACAAAGAAUAUUAAAUUAAACAUGUAAAUGAAAUCAAUUUGACUAAUUGGUGUAAUGAAUCUCAUGACUAUAUAAUAUCAUAUAUCAAGAAAAUAUAAUUUAUACGGUCCCAUAGAGUGAUCAGAAAACUGUUUUUUAGGGGGUGAAAUAUUCAAUUAUGAUGAGCAAUAAGAAUUAAUUAAUUACAUAAUGAUUAUAUAUUUAAUAUUGUUCUGGAAAAAAGAAAAAAACUAAUAUUUUAUCCAAUCUCUAUUUCUCUGUUGUCAUCUCUUAAGCAUCUUAGGUAAGAAUUAUUAUUUAUAUCGUUAAGGAUUUAUACCAACUAAAUUUACCAAUCACUUUAACAAGAAUCCAUUGAUUUUAGAUUUUUUAUUAUUAUUAAUGUGGAUGCCCGGACCAGUAUGCGUACACCUCGAUUAAUUUCACGGGUCCUGAAGUUAACGACUAUAUAAGCCUCUAAUAGAUUUAAGAUUUAUAAAACUCGAACUGGUAAUCUAUAAAAUACAAAUCUAAAAUCUGAUGAAUUAAAUUAUACUUUUAUAUUAGUCCUUCAAAGAAUAAAUGAAUGAUGCAAUUUCACUUGUAUAUCAAUUGUUUAAUUUUAACUUUGAACCUUUAUAAUUUAUUAUUUCUUUCCUGCCACUUGCUUUCAACACCUCGUUGUGUUGGCAGAUUUUAUUUAGUGAUUUACCAUAAAAAAGGCUUGGGUUAAUGGGUAAUUUUUUUUAUUUGUUGAGAUUUUUUUAUUUAUUUAUGAAAGCCAUCUUUGCUUUUGAACUUCCGGUGGCAGCUUCACAUCUGUUGCCAAUCCAAUAGCUUGAAGAAACCUUACAACUUACCAAGUCAUGUCAAUCUGCCACCAUUCCAGGCCAUGCUUGGCUGAGUAUCAAAAGUAUGUCAAAAAUUGACCAUCCACGACGGCGUUAGAAUCUUCAUGAUGGAUGAAGUAUUGUGUGCGGUGGUCAAUGCGGUGAUAUGGCUUUGCUCAACUUUUUUUUUUAUUCUUUUUUCCUCCUUGAAAAACACGUUGCUUAAUAAUUGUUUUUAAUAUUAUCCUCUUAUUUUGUUUAAGUUUCUAAUUUAUUCUUCUUGAUUUUGAUUAUUUAAUUUUUAUCUUAUUUCUUUUAAAUUUGUUUUUGGUUUCACUAUUUAUUAAAAUGUUAUUUUUCCUCUUAUUUUUUUUUCAAAUUUGAUUAUUUUUAUUUUGAUUAUUUUUUUCCCGUUCCUUUUGUAAAGUAUAAAAGUUUUUUUUUCACUCUUAAAUCAAACAAUGCUAUUAUUUUUUUUUAUUAUGUUUUUGUUUAAUAUUUAAUUCUCAUUCUUUUAUAUUGCUCCUUUUGUUUUGGAAUUGUUUGUCAAAUUAUUAUUUUUCAAUUUCAUUAUUCAACCCUAAGUUGAUUAUGAAUUUAGAGUAAUCAUGAUUUUUUCUGGUUGGGUUACAUUGGGUUAAUGACUCAGGUUAUGUGUUUAAAAUGUUAACCUAGAUGCCGUCAGCCUUUAUUUUUAUUUUUAAAAAAAAAAAAAAUUUUGAGUUCGUUAUUUUUAAAAUUGAUUUUUUCUACUUUUUGUCAUUCAUCAUUUUUUAUUUAUUUUGCAUUUAGCUUUAUAACUUUUCAUGGCAUGCCUUUUAUUGUGUUGUCCAAUGCGCACAAUCUUAGUCAUGUUAUUUAGUAAGCUAAUCCAAGUUUGUUGGCUUUUUUUUCCAUUUUGUUAAUUAUUUGUUUAUUCAAUCAAGUCUUUCUACAUUGGGUUUGUUAAUAAUUAGAGCUUAAUUACAUGUCUUUUUGGUUUGCUUUCUGAGUUGUUAUCACAACCUCUCGAAUAAGUUGCGGGUUUGGUAGGCACAUUUGGAUUAACUUUGGUCAUAUUGUUUUUUAUUUUCUUUCUAUCGCACUUGAUUAAAUUGAAACUUAUCAUUGUUUAAUAAAUGCUUUUUCUUUAUCCCUGUUAUUUUUUUUUUUGACAUCUUAUUAGUUAAGAUAACUUAUUCAAUUUAGCCGAGUAUAUGAUCUAAAUCGUGAUUUUUUUAUUAUUUUUUUAUCAAAACACACUUAUCGUCUUUUAAUAUUCUUUUUUAAUGCUAUUUUUUUCCCCGGACCACGAGAUUAGUCAUGUCUAAAACAUAUUGACUCAUGGGAUAUGUUUAUACACACAUAUACAUCUGACAUAAGCUAAUUAAGUAAUAUUUAUAAUAAAUAAUUUUAAAUAUCAGAAAAAAUGAUAAAAAAUCUAAAAAUAAAAAUUUUUGAAGGCCUCGGUAGGGUUAAAAUUAAGAAUGUUGAAUUGGUCAAUUUUGUGUAUAAAAUAAUUGAUCAUAGGCUUUUCAGCCUAUUUGUAAGAUAUCAUUCGGCCUAGUGAAUCAACAUUCGGUUUGCAAGCAUAGAUUAAAUUUUGAAAAAAAAAAUUAAAAAGGACAUGUCCUAACUUUCCUCUGUGAGUAACCUAUAAUUAAUAUAUGUUGCCAUUUGUCUAGUAGAUUAAUUACAACCCAUCAAUCUUAAUGUGUAAUAUGUUGAAAUUAAUGAUGUGAUAAUGACUUCCAAUUGAACUCCUGCAAAUAUUUUAUAGCGAUUAUGAACCAUUUUCGUGUUUAAUAUUAUAUCAUGAAUCUGGGAAUAAAUUUUAAUAGAUAUCUCAAAAGAGACUCACAUUUCCUCCAAAUUAAGAUUUAAUUUUUUUCAAUAUUUUCGAAGUCCAAAUAUUCUGUGAAAAAAAAAACUGUACACCAUGCACGUAUAUAUAAUAGUAGAAUUAUAUUAUAUUCUUAAAAAGAAAAGCUUCUCAUAAUUUCAUUAAUGAUAUCACACACACACAAACUUCAAUUGUUGAAAGCCAUCCUUUGCUUUUGAACUUCCGAUGGCAGCUUCACAUCUGUUGCCAGUCCAAUAGCUUGAAGAAACCUUACAACAUACCAAGUCAUGUCAAUCUGCCACCAUUCCAGGCCAUGCCUGGCUGAGUAUUCAAAAGCAUGGUGAUUAUUAUGCCAACCUUCUCCAAAUGUAAGCAACGCAAGCCACCUUAAAAAAGUUUGCAGAACAAAAUUAUUAGAAAUAACCAAAUCAGAAUGAUAAAAGCUAAGAGCAAAAGGUAAUUACAAAUUGUUCCUAGACAAGUCGCCGGUGUUCCACGCUCGCUUUCCCCAUAAAUGAGAAGCUGAGUUUACUAGCCAAGUGAAGUGCAAAGCCAGUACGGUUCUCACACCCUGAAAUGGUCAGCAGUAAAUUAGUUUUGUUGCAUAAGGUAUACAAGAAUUAACCUAAUUGACUACUGAGGCCUGAGGGGUAAUAAGUGUUUAAAUUUUCAUGUUCAUUUCAAUGUAUGGUCACCGAUCAGAUAUGAAUGAGUACAUCCUGAGUUUAUUAGCAGACAAUAUUGCCCUUUCAUUUUACACCAUGAUUUUCGUGCCAUUUGCCAUUUACUUCCAAUGAACUUGAGAAAUUCGUUCCAAGAGGUUGCGUUUGAUGAAAGUUCCAGUAAAAAAAGACAAAUACUAAUUUUGGCUAUCUCUGCAUAUUUUCAUUAAAAAAAAAGAGAGAGGAGGACAUGAGAAGUAUUCCAUACCAUUCCCCAUACAAGGUAUGGAAAUCCUCCCACUGCAUAUAGCAGAACUCCAAGCGCAAUUGGAUGUAGAAAGUACGUGUUUUGCAUGAACUUGUAAAAGGGUUGCUUCUCUAAAUCCCCAACAUUGUUUGGUCCUCCACACUACCAAAUCAAAUAUUUUUAACAGAAUAAGCAGCAAUAACACAAUUUCACGCUAGGAAAUUUGUUCAUUUGUGUGCGUGUGAGGAGGAUGAACAUACAGACCUUUUCAGUAAUAUAAUUAUUGUCAAAGAGCCAAGUGAUGUGACUAAACCAAAACCCUUCAGUAGGGCUAUGCGGGUCUCUCUCAGAAUCACAAAACUGGUGGUGGUGUCUAUGAGUGCUAACCCAAAAAAUAGGAUCCCUCUGAAACCAACAUAAAGCCAUUAAAAAUUGAAAACACAAAAAAUCAAGGAAAGAAAAGGGGAGGGUGCACUUACUUGAAGAGCUUGAACCCCACAGUAUGCAAAAAAAUACUCGAGCCAUUUUGGAAGCUUGAAACUCCUAUGAGAAAGAUUCCUAUGGAAAGAAAGAGUGAUACCUAGAAGUCCAGUGACAAUACCGAUGCCAAGGGCAACCCAAAAUGCAGGCCAAGUGAAAUAAAAAGGUGCGAACAAAGAUAGAAAAUGCACUGACGAAACUAUAGCAGCAUUGGCUAUAUCUGAUGAAUUCCAUUUCCUGCCCCAAAAUACCUGCCUUCUUCUCCUCACCACCACAUCUGACAGAAAGAUUUUCCCGAGGUUCCUAGGCUCGGCCUCUGAUAGAGGUGCAUUACCAGCAUCAGCCACUACUUGUAGUGCUUUUUUUGUACUGCUAUAAUUCUUAUUUGAAGCAUCCAAAAGACUUGAUAAUUUUUCUUUUUUGCAUUUGUUGGUUGUUAGUGGUAGGAACUUGGGGUUAUAGUGACCAUAAUUUAGGAGUAUAGCAGGUGGAGAACCCAGUUUCUUAGCAUGGGUAAAAGGCAAAAAAAGGCAAGGUUUGGAUUUGGUUAAUGGAGAUGUCAUCAAAGCCAUUGAGACUUAAAAGAGGAUGUAUUUUGAUAGAACUGAUUAUUUUGCGGGGGUUUAUAUAGUGAUGGGUUUGCGGAAGAGUAAGUGACUGGUUGUUUAUAAGGUAAUGCUGCUUUUCAAAAAAAAUAUAGUAUAAACGGCACAGUCAAAAACUCCUUUAAGAGAUUUGUUUGAAUGUCAUGUCAAAUUUAUAGAUUAUUGGUUACUUUUUAGUUUAAACUAUGGAAGGGAGGUAGUGUAUAUUUUUUAUUUUAAAAGUAUUUUUAAAAAAAUUUAAAAAAUAUAUUUUCUUUUUUAAUUUUUAUGUUAGAUUUUUUUUUUUAGUUUUUUAUGUUUUUGUGUUUUAACAGUAUAUUUUAAAAAAUUAAUUUUUUUUAAAUUAAUAUUUUUUAAUGUUUUUAAAUCAUUUUAAAGUGCUGGUAUUAAAAAUAAUUUUUUAAAAAUAAAAAAAUAUUAUUUUAAUAUAUUUUUAAGUAAAAAUACUUUAAAAAAAUCCAAUUAUAUUUUUAAAUAAAUUUUUAAUUUGAUUUCUCUUUUAUUUUUUACAUUUUAUUUGUGAUCAAAUUGAGUUAUUUGUCGUAUAGAUUUUGUUUUGCUCAUGAGUUGUCAAAUCAUGUUUGCUGUGUUGCAGGGGUGGUGUAAUUAGUUGUCGUUAGGUGGGGGUUCAAUGUGGUGAAAUAUUUUUAAAAACAACCUUUUUCACAUUCCCCAAGAACUCAUUCAUCGUCGUACGUUUGUCCAUUCUUAAAGUUUGUAAAAGUAGUGUACAGCUGAUAUAUAUAUAUAUAUAUAUAUAUAUAUAUAUAUAUAUAUAUAUAUAAAUUUUUUCUAACUUAAUUUUUUUAGAUAUAUAUAUAUAUAUAUAUAUAUAUAUAUAAAUUUUUCUAACUUAAUUUUUUUUUUUAAAUGAUGAAGGUGUUUUUAAAUAGGUAAGAAAAACUAGAAAUCUAGGUCGAGUGAUUAAUCGAGAAAAAUAAGCUUGUCUAUAUUAUAAAGGUAUAUUUGAAAUAUUAUUAAAAUAUUUUAAUAAUGUUAUUUAAUAAUAAAACAAAAAUUCAAUCAGAUUAAAAUAAUCUAAUAAUUAAAAAAGUAAAUAAAAGAUUUUAAUUACCAGCAAAUCAAAUGUUAAAUGUUGAAGGACAAAAUAAAAAAAUUAAUUUUAAUAAAAAAACAAAAAAAAACUUGUUUAAUAAAAAUUGAAUAAAAAUAAAGGUCAUCUUUUAAGAAAACUAAAUGAUAAAAGAUGAAACUAAAAAAAAUCAAUUUAAAUUAACUUGACUAACCAACUACCUAAGAAAUAAGAUUAGGAUAAUCCUAUUAAACAAAAGUGGCAAAAAUCAAAAAGCUGAACGCCCAAUAACCUAAUGUCAAAUAAUAAAAUUGAAGAAAAAAUCAUUUUCUUAUUAAAAAACCUAAAAAAAUCGAAGUCAAAUCAAACUAAUCUUCAAACUCUAUGAUCCGGGUCAUGAGAUUGGGAUUACCCUAUAGAAAGCAAAUACAAAAUGUCAUGAAGCAAAAUUAUAUAGGGACUUUAUUUAUAAAAAAAAAACUAAAUGAAAGAAAGUAGUGAGGGACUAAAUUGGAAAUAAAAUAAAUCAAGAAAAUAAUAAAAACAAAAGAAUAGCAAUCAAAAGAAUAAGGACUAAAUUAGAUACAAAAAUUAAAUGAAAGAAAAUGCUGAGAGACAAUUUAAAAAAAAAAUCAACUUCAAAAAUUUAAAAGCAAAACAAAUAGCAAUCAAAAUAAUAAUGAUCAAAAUUCAUAUAAAUACAAAUUGGCAUUACACAUUCAACUUUUAGAAGACCUAGCGCGAAAUUUGAGGUGAGGAGAGAGAAAAUAGGGAGGAAAAGAAAAAAAAAUAUCUAUCACCGCCUAACCACUACGCUACCAUGUACACAUACUGACUACCGGGAAGAGAACAUCACAACACUUUCAAUGCUAUCUUGGAAGGUGGUGUUUGACAGCUGGAAGAUACCGCAUUCAUCUCCCAAGAAAUGUGAGUGCUUCCUAUUCAUUGGUUUAUGCAUGACAUGCGUCAGCAACUUUUUAUUUUUUUUUAAGAGUAUUUAAGUUAUUUAAUUGUGCAUAUAAAAUGUUAAAAGACCGAUUUGUCUCCAAUCAAUAUGAUAGUGGCAAAUAGACCCUAUAAAAAAGACUGGUUUGCCAUCAAUAACUACUUAAGUGAUUUUGUUUGAGAAUGGAAAAAAAAAUUAUUAUUUUACGGUUUCAAUCUAUAGUAAUAUGUGUUUAGAUGUACAAUAAAAAAUUAAAAUAUUUUAUUUUUUAGGUUUGGAAUUUACUUAAUCAAAUUUAAUAAAUUUGAUUUGAUAGUUGCAGGGGUAGUGUAAGAAGUUGUCGUUGUUAGGCGGUUGUAGUAGUGAUGAUGGUGGUUGCGGUAAUGAUAAUGAUAGGGAUGGUGAUAAUGAAAGCAGUUAUACUGAUUGUUGCAGUAAUGAUAAUGAUAAAAAUGGUGGUGAUGAAGGAUGAUUGGUUAAAGAAAAGAAAAAUGGUAAUGUGGUUCUGCAAUCAAAGGGCUUGUGUGUGAAGGCCUAAAGUUUCGUUUUAUCUCCACAACCGCGCAAAUGGAAUCAAUUCCUUCAACUGUCCUGUUCAGGGCACAAAUCGUGAUUCGAGAUUUGGUUUGUGGAAUGUAGGAGUCAUCAUUUUUAAUUCGGUUUGGUUUUUAUUAAAAAAAAAUAAUUAAAUCGAAAUUUUUUUUUAAAAAAACCGAAACCGGUUCAAACCGCCCGGUUUCGGUUUGGUUUUUUAGGACAAAAACUGAUUCAAACCGGUUUGGCUCGAUUUUUUCAGUUUGGCUCGGUUUUUUUUGUUUGGGUUCGGUUUGGUUCGGUUUUUUCGGUUUUUUGCUUAUAAAACCAAAACCAAACCAAACCGGCUAGUUUUUUUAAAAUUUUAAUCGGUUUAAUCUGUUUUUUUACGGUUCGGUUUUUUCAGUUAUUUUUUUUCUCAGUUUAAUCGCUUUUUUAAUUUUUUUUUGUUCAUCUCCAGUGGAAUGGGACGUGUGGAUUGGUUAGCUUGAUGAAUGCAUUUGGUUCUGGCUGAUAGCUGAAAAUUGUGGUAGUUGAUUUUGGUGUUACAAGCAGCUUUUGGCGAUUAUUGGAGCAAGUGUGGCGCGUCCAAAAUAGGCAAUCUAGCAACCCAAUUUGUGAUUUCAUGCUUUCUGCAAAGCUUCAUGAAAAUUAUGUGUAUUUCAUGGAAUGUAUAGGUUUACAAUAUUG